GUUGACUGUGAACGGUCACGUGUUGUGUUAGGAGGCUCGGGGCUCGCAGUAGGCGGUAGGCCAGGGCGGGGCAGCCAGUAGCACCUACCGCAGUAGUGACACGGGGAAGGUGAUAAAAAGAAGUCAAGGAACUGAUUGUGGCACGGUGAGCAUGUGUGAGAAAGGUGUAUUCACUUUUCCAAGUGUUGCCUCAGUCUUUUCUGGAAGGAGAAAGUUCAUGGGGACGAGUAUUACCUCGAACUACAAGUCUCAGCAUGAUAGCGCCUCUCAUUCGUACAGUCCAAGGCCCCCCCUCGCCCCAUAUGUACAAGGUAACCGAUUCUGAUGCUUGAUCUCUGUCUCUCUGUGGGCGCUCCUUGAUGACGUCAUCCACUGUGCGGCAGCUGAUGAGCGGAACGGCUCGUGGCGGCGGCUAACAGUUUGGCGUUUGUCAAGGUGAGUGACCCACAGGUGAGAUGAUUAAUGUAUUGCACAUGUGUGGGGGAGGUCUUCACUGUGGUAUAAAAUGUAUGUUCUGUAUGUGAUUCACAUCCCUGACGACGGGCGGAGGCCCGAAACAAUUGUUGGAUGUUGCUCCAAUAAACAUUUACACUGUU